GAUGAGCGCUGGCGGCGUGCCUAAUACAUGCAAGUCGAGCGAACAGACGAGGAGCUUGCUCCUCUGACGUUAGCGGCGGACGGGUGAGUAACACGUGGAUAACCUACCUAUAAGACUGGGAUAACUUCGGGAAACCGGAGCUAAUACCGGAUAAUAUAUUGAACCGCAUGGUUCAAUAGUGAAAGACGGUUUUGCUGUCACUUAUAGAUGGAUCCGCGCCGCAUUAGCUAGUUGGUAAGGUAACGGCUUACCAAGGCGACGAUGCGUAGCCGACCUGAGAGGGUGAUCGGCCACACUGGAACUGAGACACGGUCCAGACUCCUACGGGAGGCAGCAGUAGGGAAUCUUCCGCAAUGGGCGAAAGCUUGACGGAGCAACGCCGCGUGAGUGAUGAAGGUCUUCGGAUCGUAAAACUCUGUUAUUAGGGAAGAACAAAUGUGUAAGUAACUAUGCACGUCUUGACGGUACCUAAUCAGAAAGCCACGGCUAACUACGUG
rnacentral:rRNA from 1 species